CAACCAGAGGGUCAGCUCCACCGUCAAACAUAGGUGGGUUGAGCCUACGGAAUCGCUCAUAGUAGGACUCAAUGGACUGUGCAGGUCGAACAGUGGCCUGCACCUGCUGCUGCAUCUGCAUCUGCAUCUGCUGCUGCACCUGCUGCUGCAUCUGUAUCUGUUGUUCCAUCUGCUGCUGCAUCUGUUGCUGCAUUUGCUAUUGCAUCUGAAGGAGCUGAGUCAUCACUUGACUUGCUCCUGCAAAAUCGGCCUGGGUGGCAGCUAGGUUAGGAGUUUGCUCGGCUGGCUGCCUGGCAACUCCUCUCCCUCUUGCUCCUCUCCUCCGAGCUGCA
rnacentral:lncRNA from 1 species